GGCCAGAGAUGACAAACGUACUUUUCUGACACCUCGUAUGAGAGCUUCCAGCUCCUGAUUCUAAAUAUUAUCUGAGGCCU